AUGCCCAUUUUAAUUGUCUAUGUUCCUCUAUCCAGAGACGUGGUAGUACAGAUGCGUAGUUCUUAUCUGUUGACAUUUGCUUUAAACAUAUCCAGCUUAACAAUAUGGUUUAUUGUGCUCUUUCUUCCCAGUUUUACACACAUUAUAAUGCAUCACAUCUGGAGUGACAUGGGGAGAGAAAACUAUGUGAGCUCAUCAGCUACUGACUGUCUUGACCUCAAACAUUUUCCGUUGCUACCUACUUUCCUCGAGAGUGGAUCUAUUCAGAAAAACCAAGGCUGGCUGGAUGGAGGAUUAGAGGCUGCUUCCUCUUUCAUGCCACUAAGGUGACAGAAUUGUGUGGAGGUUAAGAGCAUGGAUUUUGGAUUCAGCCAGGUGUGAAUUUACAGGUCCGUUCUACUCCUUUCUGGCUGGUUGUUACUGAUGCUUCAAGAUGUUCACAGGUAAAUAAAUGGGACUGUCAGUCUUAAAUGAGAUGACCGGGAGCAAUGAUUAGCAAAGCACCUUGUACAUAGUAAUCAUUUCCUAAUGAGUAGUAGCAGUGGUGGUAGUGGUGCUGGUGGUUUUAGUACUAGCAGCAGUUUGGAAAGUCCAAAUGAAAAAGUUGCAACUAUCUCUCAGUUGGCACUAGAAUAAAUCAGGAAUCUGGGCUGCAAGGUUGGCUUCCGAUUUUCUCAGUCUUUCUUCACUUAUACCCAUUUCUCUCAUAUAUCUCCUAUAUGUUUAAUGUAUGAUAGUAAAUAAUAAUCAAAUAUAGAAUAUUAUGUACUAUUGAGGUUCAGAAACUGAUAUUCCAAAAUAUGCCAUUUGGAAUUAAACUGGGAGCUGCAAAUGCAGGGAAGAACUUUCUCUACAGUUCUCUUUUCUGCCUAAAUGCUAGGUCUCCCAGGAGACGCUCAAUGAUUGUGAAUUGCUUCCCAAGGUAUCUCAGCAAUGCAAGGAAGUUGAACACAUUGCGGAAGGCAGACUAGAAGAGACGCCACACCUCAGAGCCAGAGAAACUCGGUCCCAGGGCACAUUGUCACCUUCUCUAAAACUCAUCUACUCUUCCUCUAAAAUUGCCUAUACCCUCAACAUCCCUAUUCCUUGUGAAGAGAAUAUUUAAGCUUCAACCAUCUGGCCCUUCUUUGAGUCUCAUACUUUGUGUGAUUCCCCUGUGCUUGCCUUUUACCAAAUUUGCAUGCAUUUUCUCCUGUUGAUCUGUCUAUUGUCAGUUUGUUUGAUAUAUUCAAAUGUUUAAACCCUCAGGGGGUGGAAGAGAAGUUUCUUUAACCCCAUACAUAUGUGUGUGUGUGUAUAUAUAUAUGGACUAUACACACAUACAUACACAUAUACACAUAUAUAUAUAUACACACAUAUACAUGUACAUACACAUAUGUGCAUAUAAUGCAUGUGUGUAUAUAUAUAUAUAUGUAUAAAUAUAUAUAUAUAGAGAGAGAGACUUUCUCCUAAAUUUCUAUUUGUCUUAUGUUGCCAUGUAACUCUUAAUCUAGUUUGCCUUAUCUUUGACUCAUUUAUAAGUUCUUAGAGAACAGGCAUUGAAAUCAUCUCAAUCGGCUGCAGAACUUUAUAGUUCUACUUGCUACCUUAUGUACUUGAACAGCUAAUAAAGAUACAUUCAAGUUUAUGUUAUGCUUUAAGAUCACGCAUGUGAACACAGAGCAGAUCAUUAGUAAUGGUUAAAUAGUAAAACCUUAAAAAACGAAGAGCUGCCAUUUAAUGAUUUUUGGCAUCAUUUUCUUCCUAUCUUUCUAGUGGCCAUUUCUCCUUCCUCCUGACCCUCUCCUUUAUUUCAAGGACCAGCACACCCAGACUUCGUUUUACUUAUGUGUGUGAGGUAUUUUUAGCUUUCAGGAAAAUGUUGUCUUAUUUGGAACCCAUAGUGGAAAAGAGACAUAAGAAAAACCAGCAUUCAGAAAUUAAAUCAUGUCAGCUAUCAAGUAGCAGAGUAGCAAUUAAACUCUCUAAUAAGUGAAAACUAUUUCACUCUUUAUGCAUUAUUUUCUCUUAGCUAUUUUUUUAAAACAUGAAUGAUUCACAUUGAAGAUUUCAUCUAUGUUUUGAAAACUACUAGAUGUCUUUGAUUAAUGAGGUGAUCUGUUUGUAUUUUCUCCAUCCUCAGAAACAGUGAAUCAGGUAGCGGCCUGGAGUUCCAUCCAUGGCUGUGCCACUGGUUUCUGACGGAGAGAUGCCAAAGACCAGAUGUAACAAAGCCAGCAUUCAGUCACACCAACAGAGCACAGUGACAAACCUUGCCAUGACACUGAAAUUGUAGCUGUAAUUUCUUGAAAUUCAAUUUUUUCAUAUGUAGGAGAGGUCCUAUAGCAGGGGGAACUGAUUUCACAAUUCAGAGUAAAAAUAAAUGAAAAUCAAAAAAACAAGCAGCAAACUGAAAAAUAAAAGCAAAAGCAAGAAACGGUCUCUUUAGAUCUUACCUUUACAUUUCUAAACGAUGAUUACUGAAUAAACUGCUUUUGCCUGCUGUAUCAAGUGCCAGGAAAAACACUUCUAAAACCCUAACACAAUACACACCAUUCAAAAUUAUAUAACACAGAGAAACACAGAAAUUACCUAGUAGUUUUCUAUUUUAAAUUAGCCCUCUAUCCAGUCUCUACUGAGAAAUAUAUUAUCUUGGGUAAAAAUAAGAUCGACUAUAUUCAAAUAAAUAUCUAAAUUCAAAAUAAAUAUCUUUGAUUGCAUUAACAGAUAGACCUAUAUUAUUUAAUGUUCCCCAUUAAAUAAAACAUUUAGAUUUUUAGUAUUUGACACAAAUAUAGAUGUUUAGUCUUAAUUCUGCUUUUUCAUCUUUGAACAAGAAUGUGUUUCUUUGUUACUACAUAGGCUCCACAAGCAUCAAUGGCUGAUUACUGAUAAAGACUAUCCAAUAAAUAUGCAAAAAUUUACCUGACAAUUCCCUCCCAUUGGUUGUAUGUUUCCAAAUAUUCUGUAAACAUACUAAGCAGCUGUCCUUCCCAAUGUGUCUAUCAUGCCACUGUGAUUAUGGAAAAACAUUGAAAAACAACGUAUUUGUAUAUCUCCUUUAUAAGAAUAUGUUUUUAAUGCAAGUCCAUUUAUUUCUGAAUUAAAAACAAACAACAGAAAUCUACAUAUUCUCAGUGUUACAUGUAUGAUGUCUCUUUUAGAUUUACACUAGAGUUACAUAGAUAAGACAUAGACUGAGGGAUUAAAUGUCAAUUUCUACUUUCCAAUAAAGAGUCUUUC
rnacentral:lncRNA from 1 species